rnacentral:tRNA from 1 species
GGGGAUAUAGCUCAGUUGGUAGAGUGCCUUGUAUGCACAGGCCCUGGGUUCAAUCCCCAGUACCUCAA